CCUCGGGCAGAUCAGGACCAAAACCAAACUUUCAAGAGAGGGAACUGAAGGGGCUCAAGGAAAAACGCGUCAUCAAUCUAACACCAAGUAUCAUGUCUUUGCCGGAAUCCCUCAUCCGCCGCGUCGGGAAUCGCUUCCGCGGCGGGGGAGAGCCAAAAACCAUGCCACCCCAAGUCCCAACUGUCUCAGCUUCCUCUUCCAUAAUACAACCUCAAAUCCUCCCCUAUCCGACCCUAAACGGUCAAGCGUUAUGAACCCUAAUUUGUAAAAUCCCAAAUUAAACCCUAAAUCGGCCGAAUCAAAGCCCAAACUGAUGGGGCUUUGACUCCUCGCACUCGGGAAAGCAAGAAGACAUCAAGAACGAUGUGAAACGGGAGGUAAAUUACCUACCUUCGGGAGGACGAAUUAUUUCGAUGGAAGCUACGACGGAGACGACAACGAAGGAGCGGAAAUCCUAGGUACAUAAUCUGUACGCGACUUCUCCUUUCUGUGAUUCUUUCCGCUUCUUCUACUAUCUUCUGGUAGCACACGUUGUUGAUAGAGAUAGUGAGAGAGAAUGGUUCACCUCAGUUUUUUAGAGUUUCAAGUGUUGAAACUCUAACAACAAUGGCGAUUAGAGCUCUAGUGGGGUGAGGGUAAGAGAGGAUUCAGAGAGUUGAAAGCUCUGGUUUUUGUAUUCAGAAAAUGAAUGAAGAAGGAAAAACCCUGAAUCGAUGCCUGGCAAUGCUUUAUAGUGAAGGUGAUCUGAAUGGAUCGUGUGGAGUGGCUGCAUAGAUGGUGACCUAUUGAGCUGGUUGGAUGCUAUGUGACUGGAUAAUGUUUGGACGCAUUUGGAAGGCUAGUGCAAGGCUGACUUGUAAUGUUUCAUGGUCGUGUGAGAGUGGGCUGCGGUUUCUUGCUUGGUGCAAAUGAAGAUCAAUGGCUUAUGGGCUGCUUGGAGUGGAUUGUUGGAGCUGAUUUGGUCAUGUUCAUUGCUUGGAGUUUGCAUUAGGUCAUUGUAAUUUGAAUCACAUUUGAUGUAUGUACUUUGUAUGUUGUAACUUUGGUUGAAUAUAAAUGAAGUGUGCAUGUAGUUUAAUGAAAAUUGAAUGUCAUGGUUUUGAAUUUGGCAUAAUGACUUUGUAGGUUUUGGAAAUUGGUUAAAAAAAUGGUUGUAUUGCAAUUGUAUGUAAUUUAAAAUGUAACAUGGUGUAAUGGUAAUGAAGUGGAUGUUUGUCAUGGCAA